rnacentral:rRNA from 1 species
UACGGAGGGAGCUAGCGUUGUUCGGAAUUACUGGGCGUAAAGCGCGCGUAGGCGGCUUUGUAAGUCAGACGUGAAAUCCCUCGGCUUAACCGGGGAACUGCGUCUGAUACUGGGUGGCUUGAAUCCGGGAGAGGGAUGCGGAAUUCCAGGUGUAGCGGUGAAAUGCGUAGAUAUCUGGAGGAACACCGGUGGCGAAGGCGGCAUCCUGGACCGGUAUUGACGCUGAGGAGCGAAAGCCAGGGGAGCAAACGGG